rnacentral:rRNA from 1 species
UCCUACGGGGGGCAGCAGUAGGGAAUUUUCGUCAAUGGGCGCAAGCCUGAACGAGCAAUGCCGCGUGAACGAGGAAGGUCUUCGGAUCGUAAAGUUCUGUUGAAGGGGAAAAAGAGCGGAGAGAGGAAAUGGUCUCCGAUUGAUAUUACCCUUCGAGGAAGUCACGGCUAACUACGUGCCAGCAGCCGCGGUAAUACGUAGGUGGCGAGCGUUAUCCGGAAUGAUUGGGCGUAAAGGGUGCGUAGGCGGCCUGCUAAGUCUGGAGUGAAAGGUACCGGCUCAACCGGUACAGGCUUUGGAAACUG